CCUUUAAGCAACAUGACCUGAAAGGAAGACUAUGGCCUUUGGAAUCCAAGUGACCUACGUUUAAAUGCACAUUCUGCUCUUUACUAGAGGUUUUUCCAGGACUUUUCACAUGAUUCUUAUCGGCUUUGGAAAAUACCAUUCCAUCAAAAACCUACAUGGAAACCAAAUACAAUAACAGAAAAAGAUAGAACUUUUCUCCUUAAAGCAGAGUAAAGUGUCAGCCCCUAGUUCACUUGGUUAUCCCUCUCUACCAUGCCCAGCUCGUCACUCCAAAUCCCACUGGGUUCAUGAAGGCAGAGCUCUGUGAAACAAAGCUGGGAAACCCUAAUGUCUUUCAGAAUCAGAUAGCGCUUACCUGAAUCAAGCGUGUUUAUCCUGAAAAUAUUUUACAACCACAACACUGAUUUGAUCUUUAAUAUUCAGGCCAAAAUAUCCUUGAAAUUACAUUGACAACUCACAAUUUCCUAGGAGACUGGAGAAUCUGGAUUUAAAACUUGCAGAAACAGAUGAAGAUAUGAAGCAAAAAGCAUAAAAGUAGUCUAUUAAUAUAAGGAAUUGAAUUAACCUCAAAGCCAGAAAUGAACAUCUAGGGCCUACAUUUUAGAGUUUGUUCUGCCACCAACAAGUGACGUGGCCUUAGAAAUCACUUCAGUCCUCUGUGCAUUUCUCCAGAACAGUUUGGAUAAACUCAACAAUAUUCAAAGUGGGCUUUGCAGAGCACCUUGUGGAUUAAGUAGAAGGAGAAGGAGCCAGACCCUCCCUGUGGUCCAUGGUUUCUCUGAAGCAGCCGUGAUGAUUUACUUUCUCAUGUUGAGAUCAGGAGAGAAGUUAAACACGAUUCUCUGAAGGGUUGGCAAUUUCCAAGAGAUCCAGCUGUGUACAGAGUAGCGGUGGGGUCAAGGAAGAGGUGGCUUCUCCAGGACUCUCAAGCUCCAGCAGGCUUCUUGAUCCAUCUACUGAAAAGGCACGGAGGGGUGAAAGGUGUUGAGGAGAUGAAAUGCCAAGUUGCAGAAAAGACGUUGUUCUGGGGCUCCCAGAAUCCCUCAGAUCUUCCAAGAAAGAAAACCUUCAUGCCCAAAGAGAGAAAAGUCGCUAUUUGCAAGUAGACUGUUCC
rnacentral:lncRNA from 1 species